rnacentral:tRNA from 1 species
AAGGAUAAUCGGAGCGUUACAGGGGCUUAAGUGCCAAUUUAGUUUGUUUUAAAGUUUUGUUUAGUUUUGAGUGCGCGAGUGCACGAAAAGACACCAGCGUAUGGGGGAUUAGCUCAGCUGGGAGAGCACCUGCUUUGCAAGCAGGGGGUCAACGGUUCGAUCCCGUUAUUCUCCAUUACCUGGUAUUGUCUGAGAAGAGAAUACUAGGUAGCUUGUACAUUGAAAACUGAAUAAUCAAGAAAUUCUUUUAAAAUGAUUCAGAGGUGAAUCAUCUAAAUGAACCGAGAAACAACACAAGUUCUUUAACAAGAACGGUUUAAUCGCAGGUCUGAAAAAUGACCAACUCAUAAAACUGAUCCAACUUUAAAAGUUGU